rnacentral:rRNA from 1 species
UACGUAGGGUGCAAGCGUUGUCCGGAAUUAUUGGGCGUAAAGAGCUCGUAGGCGGUCUGUCGCGUCGGCUGUGAAAACUCGGGGCUCAACUCCGAGCUUGCAGUCGAUACGGGCAGGCUAGAGUUCGUCAGGGGAGACUGGAAUUCCUGGUGUAGCGGUGAAAUGCGCAGAUAUCAGGAAGAACACCCGUGGCUAAGGCGGCUCUCUAGUACGGUACUGACGCUGAGACGCGAAAGCGUGGGGAGCGAACAGG